rnacentral:lncRNA from 1 species
UUAGAAUCCCCUUCCUCUCAAACUCUCUCUGCAACACCACUUAAAUCCUUAGACGUUGCCACACUGAUCCACCAUAAUACCUACCUAAUACAUGGCCUUCUGUGGUCAUUUAAGACCUGUACCAGCCUUCCAUGCCUCUAUAUGUUUGUUGUUAUGGUUUCAAGGCCAGAACUUGAAGGUGCCUAGUCCACUACUUGUUCAAUUUAAGUUCGUGGCUUUUCUUCGAUCAUCCUUGACCUUUCUCCGGCCAACCAUGGCAGUUCGAGUCAGAUCCUUGACUCUCCUAGUUAGAUCGGUAAAUUUCAGGGCCUUUCUCACCUUUCCUGGGUUUUUGAAACCCUAAUCUUUAAUAUCUUUUCAACUUCCUUUCAUAUCUGUCUUUACCUUGAACUUUUAAGCUUCUUCUCGAAGUUUCUUCAAUUUUGCUUUUAAAAACGACCCUUUAUCUUUUCCUAUUAGGGUUUUCCUAUUAAGUUAUUUCAAAAUCUCUUCUCUAAUUUUUAACAUGUUUAAGAUGUGUGCUUGUUUCUUAAAAUUAUUGCUUGACUUGUCUGUUUACCAUUUUUUGAACUCGUUUAUUUUUGAAAACCCUAGGUAUUUGGGUCUGAGAUUAUUGUCAGAACACUCAACUCGAAGUUCUUGUUUUAGACUCUCCUUUUUCUAUGUGACUUAUCUGAAUUUUACUAUCUUUCAAAUCGACUAUGGUUGAAACCCCAACCUCUCAAAGGGUUUCCUCACCUGCUACUAUGAGACCUUUGCAUGCUUCUAAUACUCUAUUUUUCUUCACUAUUGAUUCAAUGUGACUUGACCUACUUGAUUAUUAUGUUUCUAAUGUUUGCUAUCUACUGAACCUUAUGCUACUGUUUUAUGAUGUUUCUUUUGCCAAUGGGUUUGCUCUCACAUGUUGGUGAUUGUUAACUUUGUUUCUUUGUUGAGGUUCCUUAUUUGAUUGAUCUUCAAUCUUCUGACUAUGUUCAAAAAAUUUCUUUUAUGAACUCUAAUUUCACUAUCCUGUUAAAGUUAAUUGUUUCCUUUCCUUAUUUUGCCUUACUGAAUCUUUUUCCAAAAUAAGCAUAUUUUUGCACUUAGACUUGAUUACUUACUCAAUGGUUUUACUACUCCUUUUAUGGCAACAAUCAGUCUGCUUACAAACUGAUUUUCUUUCCUUAUUUUGAAUCUGUCACUACCGUAAACAAUGAUUCCCUAAUUAAAGGGGAUCACUGGUGUAAUUGAUUAUGAGUUGUAAUUGUUUCCAUGUUUGUGUCUUAUUACUUCUCCUUCACUCGUUUUUAAAAAGCUAUUAAUACCAUGCACCUUCUCUUCUUUAAAGGACACGAACCGCUUGAGUUCAGAACACACACUUCAUUCAAAAACUCUCUCUCUUUGCUCUACUACUUGUGUUGCUUCCUUGUCUAGCCGGCUGAAAGCUAAGGCUAGGCUGUGGAAAUUUUCCUUCUUUUCUUUCUGCAUUUGAUUCUUUACUGGUAUGUUAUGAUUAAUCUUCAAGCAUCAAUAACUACAUGUUUUGUUACUAUUUCCUCCACUCUUGCAUGUUUCCUACUUGUGUUUAAUCAAACUACAUUACCAAGCAUGUUGUAAUCUCCACUUUCCCCUUCUUAGUCAAUGUUCUUUUCCUUAUGUAUGAACCUUGUCAGUCACUUACUAUGACUUAUGAAUACCAAACCCCCAUCCCCUAUGUGUUUGUAGUCUUUGGUUGGUUUGAGGGCAUGUCAGUAUUAGACAUUGUUGUGCAUGACCCAAACUUGACCCUCCUUGGGUUAUAUGCUUCCAAUCCUCUCUAUGUAUUGUGUCCUUUGGCUGGUUUAUGGGAAUGCCAACAUCAAUUAUUGUGUCUUAUGCCCCUGUAAUUUAUUCCCAAAACCCUGACCCUUUGUGCAACUACCGAUGCUGUAUAAUUUUAGCUUUGCUUCUAUUGUUUUUGAAUUACCCUUACUCCCUUACUAUUCUCAACCCAGCUUUAUCUCUACUCUUAGAGUUAGGUUCUGCCCUCUUGUGUGAGCCUUACCUUGGGACCCACAAGCUCCCUCUGAACUUGGACACAUAAGGGUUGGCCCUUCCAGACCGCACUCAUCUCUAUCUGUUUACGCAAACAUGGUUGUAUGCACUGUCCGGGGUCCCUUGCGACCCUUAGGGAACAUUGACACACCCAGAUCUGAGAAAGGCUUUGAACCAAUGGCAUUUGAAUUGGUUUAUCUCAUAACUCAGACAGGAAGUCAAGAAUCAGGCUUCCUAUGGUUGUAACUUCUUCUUUUGUACACUUUUGAUAUAAUUCAUUACUUGGUCCGUAAUAAGUUGUCAUAAACAUUGGUGCUGGUUAGUGAAAAGGGCUGGGUAAUUUUGCAAGCUUAAGGAUAGAUAACACGCCUAUAAGACCUGUUUUCUGCAUAAUUAAUUCAGCAUUUAGAUAAUAUGCCUAUAGGACCCUUUUUAAUCUGCAUGUUUAACUCUGCAUUUAGAGAACUUGUCUAUAGCGCCUGUGUUAAACUCUGCAUCUAAAUAACAUGUUUAUAGGACUUGUUAUUACCACACUUAGACACCAUGUUCUUUGUAUCAAAACGGCUAAAAUCAGACAUCAUGUCCAUAAGGUUAAAAUUAGUACCUCUUCAUAGAAAUCAUGCUAUAGGAAUUAAAACGAGCAAUACUAGAUAUCCUGCCUAUAGGAUCUAAAACCAGCCUAGUCUAAAAUCAGUUCAACUUAUACUGUUCUGCACUAGUUUUUAAAACAACUCUCUCUCUCUCUCUCUCUUCUUAUUAACACGGUUUAGAAGGCAUGCCUAUAAGAUCUCAAAUCGUUUGUUUUACAAAAUUUACUGCUUUGCCACAUUUAGAAUUGGCAAUAGAUAUCAUGUUUAUAGGACCUCACCCAAACACUUAGGCAAGCCUUAGGUGAUAACAACUAUAAAAUUGAUUCCGCCUUUGUUAAUUAGUAAUUUAUACAACCAGCAGGAAGGCCUGAAUCGGACUUCUUAUCUAAGUCAUGUAAUAAAUUGGUCUGCUUCAACAAUUAAACUCCCCUCGCCUUUAGUAUUUUAAAUUCAGACCCUAAAUGUAUGUUUAAGUCAUGCUAUUAGUGUGUUUUCUUGAGAAGUUAUACAUGAGCCCUUUUAUUUCUUUACAUGUUUCCCCUAACAUAUAGUAUUAUGUGUUUUUAUAUGUCGCCUUAGAUAUUAAACCUUUUGAAACCCAAAGUCAGUCUAAUAUCCCUCCCCCUUAGGAAUAGUAGUCCUAAGUUCCUCCAGGACUGAUAGGAAUGGGACAGGCAAUUGCAUGCAAUAGAGGUCGAGACCAAUCCGCGCUUUAAUACCUUGAUGGGGUAGGAAGGAUAGAUAUGAAUAUGAUGACUAGUGCGCUAAUACCACCUGUAUCCCCUCUUCUGAUGAGUGUCAUAACGGGUGUCGCAUUGAUGUGAUCCAUAUUGUAAAUAAACCUAGGACCCCUUUCCCUUUUUAUUUACAAACUUCUUUUCAAAAAUUCAUCUUUUAAUAGUUGUUAUUUCAACCUCCUAUGUGUUUAAACUUAAAUCCCCUAGUAUUUGAUCCUAUACUUGUCUAUGUGCUAACUGUACAAAUUCACAAAAAACUAUCGGACCGGAAACCACAUUAGUCAAUCCUGAGGGGUGCCUAACAC